rnacentral:misc_RNA from 1 species
UACGUAGGGGGCAAGCGUUGUCCGGAAUUAUUGGGCGUAAAGAGCUCGUAGGCGGCUUGUCGCGUCUGCUGUGAAAUCCUGAGGCUCAACCUUGGGCGUGCAGUGGGUACGGGCAGGCUAGAGUGCGGUAGGGGAGAUUGGAAUUCCUGGUGUAGCGGUGGAAUGCGCAGAUAUCAGGAGGAACACCAAUGGCGAAGGCAGGUCUCUGGGCCACAACUGACGCUGAGGAGCGAAAGCAUGGGGAGCGAACAGG